AUUGAACGCUGGCGGCAUGCCUUACACAUGCAAGUCGAACGGCAGCGGACCUUCGGGUGCCGGCGAGUGGCGAACGGGUGAGUAAUAUAUCGGAACGUACCUUUCAGUGGGGGAUAACGUAGCGAAAGUUACGCUAAUACCGCAUAUUCUGUGAGCAGGAAAGCAGGGGAUCGCAAGACCUUGCGCUGAUUGAGCGGCCGAUAUCAGAUUAGCUAGUUGGUGAGGUAAAGGCUCACCAAGGCGACGAUCUGUAGCGGGUCUGAGAGGAUGAUCCGCCACACUGGAACUGAGACACGGUCCAGACUCCUACGGGAGGCAGCAGUGGGGAAUUUUGGACAAUGGGCGCAAGCCUGAUCCAGCCAUGCCGCGUGAGUGAAGAAGGCCUGGUGU
rnacentral:rRNA from 1 species